rnacentral:tRNA from 1 species
GGGGUUGUGGCUCAGUGGUAGAGCACUCACUUGGCACAUGAAGAGCCCUGGGUUUGAUCCUCAGCAUCACAA